UUAGUUUUGAGACUAUAUGUUGGUGUGGUUAGUAACUAGGUAAGGUACCUUUUGCAUCAUGAUUUGUUGAUUUUUUGACAGGGAUUCUGUAGUUCCGAAGAAUUGCGAUCUUUUUUGUGUUUGUUUAGAAUGUAAAAGUGAGCGGGAAGCUCUUUUUAAAACUUAAUAAAGAUGUGAGAAAUAAGACGUGCAAUUUAAUAUCUGAUUAAGAAAGGGGUCAUUUUGUAUUAGUUUCAUUGUUAGGAGAUGAUGAAAUAAAUAAGAAUCUGGUUUUUUAUUUUUAUAACUUGAGGUUAAGAUUACUUUAAGUUUGAUAACGUGUUAAUACGAAGGGAUUGAGUUGGUUAUGGAUUUUAUUUUGGCCUUUCUUGGAUAAUGUGUUGUUUGAGUAUGAUAGAAUAAGUAAAAUGAAUAUUUCUUUUUUUUCUCGCUAAGCUUCGGACUGUUUAUUAAAAACAUUGCUAUUUGAUGAAUAUUAAUAGUAAGGCCUGCCCAAUGUUUAGGAUUAAUGGCCGCAGUAUAUUGACUGUGCUAAGGUAGCAUAAUUAAUUGCCUUUUAAUUGGGGGAUUGUUUGAAUGGUUUUACCAGAGGUUGUUGAUUGGAGUAGAUGAGAAAUAUGUUUGAAAUUAGAGGUCUGGUGCAGAUCCCAGAUAUAUUUUGUUAGACGGAAAGACCCCGAGAGCUUUAUAAUUUUAUAUUUUAUUUGUCUGGGGCAGAAGUAUAUAGUUUAUAUAUUUUAUGAUCCUUGUUAGGGAAAUAGGGUUAAGUUACCUCGGGGAUAACUAGGUAAGAAGUAAUGAGAGAUCAAAUCGAUUUACUUAGUUGCCAUCUCGAUGUUGAUUUAGAGUGGUUGUAUUGGUGCAGAAGUUAAUACAAUAGGUCUGUUCGACCUAAAUUCUCUUCAUGAGUUGAGUUAAGACCGGCGUGAGCCAGGUCGGUUCUUAUCUACAUUGGUUAUAAAUUAGUACGAAAGGAUUGUUUAUAAUUUAUGUU
rnacentral:rRNA from 1 species